AUACUUACCUGGCAGGGGAGAUACCAUGAUCACGAAGGUGGGGCUCCCAGGACGAGGCUUACCCUUUGCACUCCGGAUGUGCUGACCCCUGCGACUUCCCCAUCUGUGGGAAACUCAACUGCAUAAUUUGUGGUAGUGCGGGACUGCGUUUGUGCUCUCCCCUG
rnacentral:snRNA from 1 species